AUGCCUCAGUACGGCGAGUGAAGCGGCAAAAGCUCAAAUUUGAAAUCCCCCGGGAAUUGUAAUUUGAAGAGAUUUGGGUCCGGCCGGCAGGGGUUAAGUCCACUGGAAAGUGGCGCCACAGAGGGUGACAGCCCCGUGAACCCCUUUAACGCCCUCAUCCCAGAUCUCCAAGAGUCGAGUUGUUUGGGAAUGCAGCUCUAAGUGGGUGGUAAAUUCCAUCUAAAGCUAAAUACCGGCGAGAGACCGAUAGCGAACAAGUACAGUGAUGGAAAGAUGAAAAGCACUUUGAAAAGAGAGUGAAAAAGUACGUGAAAUUGUUGAAAGGGAAGGGCUUGCAAGCAGACACUUAACUGGGCCAGCAUCGGGGCGGCGGGAAACAAAACCACCGGGGAAUGUACCUUUCGAGGAUUAUAACCCCGGUCUCUAUUUCCAUGUUGCCCCGAGGCCUGCAAUCUAAGGAUGCUGGCGUAAUGGUUGCAAGUCGCCCGUCUUGAA
rnacentral:rRNA from 1 species